rnacentral:tRNA from 1 species
CAUGAGUUGCGCCGAACUGUUGCGGGCGGGGGCCGGUUUCCGUCUCGCCGAGGUGGAUCCGGAUGCGACUCCCGGUUUCGCGG